rnacentral:lncRNA from 1 species
AGACAUAUCGGUGCCUGCCCUGAGGGUAAAGACAGUCUUCAAAUGGGUGGACAGCAACGCUGUAGUAAGUGCAUUAUGUUUAUCUUUUGACUUUUGGUUACGUUUGGCUCCUCGGGAUAGACGGCAUUUUCUACCUAGUAUCAGCCCAACCCAGCUGGAACGGCAGAAACUGCUGUUUUCAAAUGAAACGAAACCUUCUGCAUGGACAGAACAGCUUUCCUUGUUCUUCAAUUACCUAAGUAGCUUAAAGCCAUUUUUGGAAGAAGCCAGGGAGUGAACUAUAAACAUUUUCCUUAAGCAAAGCUCGUUCUUUGCAGAGCCAGCACUGGUCACUCUGGGACCUCGCUACACAAUUUUGAGAGGCUCUCGAGAAGAGAUGAAGAGGAGGAACUUUGUGGACAUUUUAAACGAUUUCUUUCCUUCUGGGACCAGAUGAGUAAAACAAAA